CACGUUCGACUGUGCGUCAAGAAUUCAGCAUAGCAAGUUUGUAUGAAGGUCUGGUUAUUCACAGGUAAAUAGUAAUAUGCUCUAAACCGAUCUGGUAACAACCAAACUUUGCUGCCCUGUUUCCAAUCGUCCACAUGGCUGGGAGAACCUAUUCAAGAAAAUACAGAGAGCAGUGAAAGCCUGUCUGCAGAUGAAGAGGUCCCAAUGAAGAGCGGUGGUUCUCAGUCCUGGUCCUGGGCGGUGGUUCCCAGUCCUGGUCCUGGGCGGUGGUUCCCAGUCCUGGUCCUGGGCGGUGGUUCCCAGUCCUGGUCCUGGGCGGUGGUUCCCAGUCCUGGUCCUGGGCGGUGGUUCUCAGUCCUGGUCCUGGGCGGUGGUUCUCAGUCCUGGUCCUGGGCGGUGGUUCCCAGUCCUGGUCCUGGGCGGUGGUUCCCAGUCCUGGUCCUGGGCGGUGGUUCUCAGUCCUGGUCCUGGGCGGUGGUUCUCAGUCCUGGUCCUGGGCGGUGGUUCUCAGUCCUGGUCCUGGGCGGUGGUUCUCAGUCCUGGUCCCGGGGACCCAAUGGGGUGCACGUUUUAGUUCUUGCCUUAACACUACACAGCUGAUUCAAAGGAUCAACUCAUCAUCAAGCUUCAAGUGAUACCUUGGAACUGGAGAUUCCUUCAAAACGAUUGGCUACAGUUACCGUGUAGGGCACUGCAAGGUUGGGUGACCAGGGCCAUCUGGGACUGCCUCCUGGGGGUAUUCAGGCCUGUGAAGGCUUCCUGUGUCCUGCAUAACUUCAUGAGGAUGGACAUGAGGACCAGGAGGGGGUCUGCAGCUCACCACCGUGUGCCAGAGGAGAGGUCUGCUGCUCUGCAGGAUGUUUCAAGGAUGGGGGCCGACAACUCCAUAGACUCCACUAUGCACAACCAAAGGCUCUGUUAAGAUCCAUCCACAUGGCAAUAUGAGUAUUCUUCCAUUUACUAGAUAUGUCAACUGCAGGUAUUACAUUCCCAGUUUCUCUCCUUUUGAUUUCUACUUCUCAGGUGAGGGUGCUGUUCAGGUGAGGGUGCUGUUCAGGUGAGGGUGCUGUUCAGGUGAGGGUGCUGUUCAGGUGAGG